UGGUGAGACAGCACCAUUCCUUCCAGGAGCUGAAAGAAGGCCCCUGAGGUUGAAAUGAGGUGGAGGGGAAUGAGAGGGCGGUAAAGGGUGCAGAAACAGGCAGGAGCCUGAAGGACUGGCCUGGACUGUUCUGUGUGCCCAACAGCAACUGGCGGGCCUGGCCUCUGGAUGGAAAGAAGACCUACCAGAAGGGCAGGAGACACCAAAAAGACUGAGGUGAACUUCAGCUUGCCCAGUUUUCAGGUCUGCAAUUCCAGGUGCAUGUGGUGGGUCUGCCACUUCCAUAGAUAUUGGAAGGUACUCAAUAUUGUAUGAACAUUCUCUGGUGGUUCGUGAAAUCAUGGUGACUUGGGUCUGGGCCCAAUCUCAAUUCAUUUGCAAGGAGUCAAUCUGAAGACCUGUGACCACAAUGAGGAAUUUCAAAGGGGAUCUUCAGUACUGCCUGGAUAUUUUAAAUGGACAACCAGAUAGCACAGGAAGCAGCCCAGCUCCAGAUUCUAGGCUCGCAGAUGGUGAUGCUGGAAAGGGGAAAAGAAACGUUGGUUGAAUCUGCAGAGAAGGGACCCACAGAUAUGGAGCACCCACUGUUUACCAGACACUGAGCUAGGUAUUUGGGAUGCCACAGAAGAGUAUCAAGAAUCACCCCUGCCCUCAAGCAGCUUUUAACCAUUGAGCAGACACCAGGGAAGGGCCAGAGGAGCAGCGUGGGUGGAAAAGGAUAUUGUGAGACUUUGACAGAAGUAGGAGUAGGAGGGAUAUGGGAGGAAUCGGACUUGUUUGGCCUUUUAGGGUUUUCGGCAUAAAUCUUUGGAAUUACUGCAUCAAUAGUUUAUGUGUACUUACUUAAGGUAAGACUCUAUUCUGCUUUUUUUCCCCUAGACUUUUUGGAAAGCAUGUUCAGAAAGCCUCUUAUCUUCCCUAGCACAAAGAUUGUUUUAACUCUAGCUUAAAUAACAAUAGUAAAAGUGAUCAGGGUAGCUAUCAUUUGUUGAAAACUUACUGUGUGCCAGACCCACUGAUAAGAACUGUGAGUUAACAGAUGAUUCAUUCAUGGCCCAAAGGAGCCCUGUCUUUCCUGAGUUUUCAAGUUCUAUACAGAAAGGUCUCCUGUUUAGCCUUGCUAAACUUCGCACUGAGGAGGGGGCCUACCUCGGGAGUCCCAAAUGAGUGUUACAAAGCACAAUUCAUAAACAUGUCCGACAACUUCCUGAGGAAAGAGCUUUCCAGAACCCACACACCAAAUCAAAUAGUUAAGAAGAAAAUGAGAAAAAGGUUUUAAUUUAAAUCAAUUAUACUUUUAAAUUAUUUUCUUCACACAAUUUAUUAGAAGAAGAAGAAAACCCCCUAAAGUUCUGAAGAAAUAUUAACAUAACAUGCCUGUAACUCAUGCUGUGUUUAAUGAGAGGUGCUGUUUUUCCUGCCAUGGGGCCAUAGCCCAAUGAGUGAUGGCUCUGAAAAGGGUCACAUACAUAUUCAUCAAAUUCGACAUGCACAUGUAAACUGGUUUUAAUAGGCCAUGACAGCAGAAGUUGUGUCGGGCAAAUAGCUGCAUAUGUGCUCCUUUCCUCCACUGGCACAUUUAGCCAUUAACACUCUGGUAUCCAUGGAUGAAAUAUUAGCUUGUUAACUUCAGGCCAUCAGUUGUUGUUGAUUCUCAGUAGCAACUGAGGGAAGAGAUCCCCUCUGCUACUUUAUUAGGGGAGAAGCUUGAACUUCAAGAUGCUCAUUUCACUUUCAUGGUGUCAUUAAUACUAUUUUGUUCCCUGAACUUGGAGUCCAGAAGAUGCAUGAAAAUUGUUCUGACAAAAAUUGAUAUUAUACCCAGUUCAAACCUACAGAUGGCAUGGGACAAAAACUGAUAUAUCCAGUUCAAACCCACAGAUGGCAUAGGUUUUAAAACUUUUUCUUAAUACAUUUCAAUGCAAGAUCCAUUUUCUUCAACUGUCAACCAUUUUGAAGGUCAUCAAAGCAUGCAUGGUUGUUGGUUAAGUGGACAUUAGCAGCAAUUAUGCAUCCUUCUAAGACUCUCUCCUUCGUUUUUUGAUGAAUAGAUUGUCAAGUUCAGAAGUGAACUAAAUUAUCACAGUGCAACCGAAGCUACACUCGAUUCAUUUUAAAAAAAGGACCCUCAAGUAAUAAAGUGAGAUGUCUAUGUUUUCUAGAAGCUACCAUACAAGAACAAGACCCAAAGCCCAUUAUUUCAAGACACUCAGGCCCUGAGUUAACAUUGAUAGAUUAUCUUUUUGCAACCAUCUGGAGGCCCCUGGCUACCUCAACCAUCAACUGUUGGAUACCUAUAUUUAGUUAAACAGAAGAAUCUUUCAUGGACCAUUUACAUUUAGCCUGUUCUGUCAGUCAAGUUUCUUCCUAGAUUGAGUUGGUGUUUUGUUCUACUUUCUGUUAAACAAACAGCUGUACAUUUGAAUCACCAAGGUACUGGGUCUAACCAAAGUGACCUUUACAUAACAUGUUGAGGAAGAGUUUCAUAGCUUGGAAACAAAUCUGUCAUUCAUAGUCAAUCACAUUUUAUUACUGAUCUCUUGUUCCUCAUCCCCAUCCUUUCCUGCUUCUUCUCCAAAUCAGCGAUGAAUCCUUGCCAAAAAAAAAAAAAAAAUUCUGCCCUUUAUUCACCAAUAAGUGUUCCAGAUCGUCACAUGCUUAAAAUAGGAUCAACUUUAGUUGCCAAGAUAGUAAACAACACAAUAAAAUAAUUUAUCCACUAAUAAAAUUAUACUAUAUGGUGAGAAAAUAUAUUAAAAAAGUAAUUAGUUGAAUAAAUUAACUGGAUAUUUGUCUCUUUGUCAUGAAUAUAUUUUCCUUGGCAGAAGGAAGUAUAUGUAGGACCCCUGUUUUUUUUUUAGCUUCCUCAUAUUUAGUUGUGAAUGAAGAAUACACUGGAUCCAACCCUAUGGGUAUUAUACAGGGAACAAUUUUCUAAAAGAAACCUACAAACACUCCAAUAUCAGAUACUGUACUGUUCAAGUUAGAGGUAUCAGAUCUAUUCUGGCUUUUUCAAUGGAAUAUAUUUGUCUUCAUUCUCAGACUUGGUGUCUUGGGACAAGAUAAUUUAAGGAAGACUGCGAUUAACAUAGGCCAGCUCUCCCUUGUAAUAUAUGAGUGGGCUCAAUACAAUGUAUUCUAAUGCUGCAUUACAAUACAGUGAUUUUUAUGCCCCACCUUCCAUACAUUUAAGAGUUGUGAGUGACUUUACAUGUUUUGAGCUACUCUCAAUUGAGAAGAUUAUCACCAUGUCAAUAAGUGACAUAAUGUGUGUUCAGUAUUUUCCCAGUUCUGGCUUAGGCUCAUUAGACCACCACUGCCAAAGAACACAGGGCACAAUUUGCUUGAUUUCUGCUUUUUUAGAAAAAAAGGCCCUCCAUUUCUAACUGUUCUAAUUACAUUUCAGUGCAAUUAGGAAACUCAUCCCUAGAAAGCAAAGUUGCUUUCUGUGACUGGUGAGCAGAGGCAGAAAAUGAAAGGCCGGCUCUUCCUUGGCACUGCUGCCCAUCACUAAGAGGCGGGAAUGACUGGUGAACUUGGCUGAUUCAGGAAAAUGCCAUCUGCAUCUUCUCCUAGGAAGCAGAUGGUCUUCACAGUGACCUGUAUAGUAAGGAAGGUUAAGGCAGCCACAAAGAACCAACCUGGGCUUGCUUCAGAUGGAACUAGAAACAGAGAUGGGACAGCCAGAAUUAGAAUGCACGUCACUGGGCAGAAACAUGGACAACCCACUAAAACAUGACCUUCAUGGGCGUGGAACACUCAGAUGGCUUACAGGCUGCAAAUUAGGAACAAGAUGGGCCUAAGUAAAAAUGAUGGGAACUGUCUUCUCACAAUAACCCACAGACAUUUAAAGAGGUGAGAGAUAUGGAUUUCCAGAAAACCACACAUAUUUGGGGGAAAAUAGGGGUCAUUCUCCAGAGGCUUUGAUCCAUUAGUUGGCAUUUCACAAAAGGCGGCCAGACCGUGUUGAUUCGACAACAGAGGUGUAAGCUGGGACAAAUUAAUUUACACUGCUUCAUGUGGGAAAGGCAACAAGGCCUGAUAUGUCCAUUACUAGUCUUAAGAAAAAGUAUUUGUGCAAUGUUAACACAGUUUAUACAGUUUAUGAAAUCAACAAAUGAUUUGAUCUUUUGCAAGCACCAACACCCCUUGAAUAAGCUUUUCUGAAUUGCCCUGGUCAAUCCUUGUGACUUGUGUUUUAAGUACUCUUUUUAAGUUCAGAACAGUGUAAAAUUUAAAAUCCAAGCCGUAUUUUUCUUUCCUUUAUAAGAAUUUAAGCAUUGGGCUGAUUUUAGGCCUGAAGCUUUCAUUGAUGCUAGAGUCAAUCAUGAAUGACUAACCUAGACCUUCUAGGAGGAUUGCUAAUUGGUUGCGACUCAUUACCUGGAGCUAUAAGAAUGGCUAAAAAGAAGUAGCCCCAUCUGAGGAGAGCCUUCUAUGGUCACUUCAGCCUGGAAUUCAUUCCCUUUCUCUCAACACUUAACAGCGUUUUGAUUAUUUAUUGGUAAAUAAUCUGCUAAACUCUGGAAUCUCUGAGGUAGCCCAUGGAACAUACUGGACACAGAGAAUCUGGAUUUCCCAAGGCAUCAGUGUGCUUUGGGGCCAUACCUAGAAGCUACGCACCUCAAAUUCUGUGGUUUAUAAAGUUCAAUAAAUUGUCUCUACCUAUCUGAGAUAGAGGAAUGGACUAAAUGUGAGGUAGACUUCCAAGGGACAGGACCAUAUAAGUAGCAGAUUUAUUUUAUUCAGAAAGGGCAGCCCCUCAUAUAUAUUAGAAAAAUUAAAUCACUCAUUUCUCAUAUUCCAAAUACUACCACAAAUGAAAGCUGGCCUGGGACUCUCCCUGCCCCAGUCUUCACUGAGACCCUAAGGUGAUAGAUAUGAUGCACAAAGGGGUGGUAGAUGGACCCCCCCUCUCCUGUGCUUAUAAAGACUGAUAAAAAGAAUGAUCUCAGAAACUGUUUCCGAACUCUUUGACCACUCAACCAGAUGCAGCAGAUAAAAGAGAUUACAGAGGAAAGAGGAUUUUUUUCAAGAAGAGUGGGGAGGAUUUUUUUUUUGAGAGAGUUUCCAGUGUUGUCAUUUCAUCUUCCCUUCCUGUGGGUGAGUGGAAGGGGGUGUUCAUACUCACAUAAACCAAGUGAGCAGAGUUUCAGGAAACUACUUAACACGAGCUGGGUCCCUGACUAAUGCCUGACUCUUGGGAUGGUGAAUUUGGGUCUGCCUGCAGCCUCAGGCGUCCGAGGGCCCUUUGUGAUCGCAGGAAUGCCAGCACCUCUCAUGUGAUCUGGAGAAGGCUGGCUGGCUGCCUGCAUUGGUGGUGGAAGGUAGUGGCGGAGAGACUGGCCUGCACUUUCUGAGUUGGCAAGACAAGAGAUGCAAGCGUGUCUCCCAUGAAUCACGUGAGGGAGGUGUGGAAGAGAAGACCAGUGUGGCAUUGCAUUGGGUUCUGUCCAAUAUGAUCUCCUGGAGCAAUGACACACUCAGCACCCACAAGGUACAGGUGUCCCCCAAGGGGCCAAUAAAGUCCUUUGGGAAGCAGACUAGGUAUUAAAAGUAGAAGUGCUACUUUAAGAA
rnacentral:lncRNA from 1 species